rnacentral:lncRNA from 1 species
AUGAGUCAGUGUGGAUUGAAAGACCCACAUAUCACUGGACUAAGUAGAACACAUGCAGCUAUAGCCAGAAGCUUUCCAGAAAGCAGGCACAUAUGUUAUGUGAACCUGAAGACAUCAGGAAGUGAUGAUCCAUACCACUGCCACCAGUUUUCACAUUUCACUUUCUGUUUCCUUGCCUGCUUGAUAUCCCAUCAUUAGUCAUUCUCUGUAUUCAGGUACUAUCCCUAGGCAUGCUCCCUUCUUACAUAAUUAUCUUUUGGGAAGGCUUUAAAAACUUUUUAAUAUACUGUAUGGGCCAGGCUCUUCUGCAUGAAUUUAGGUCAUGUAACUAUUAAGCGCUCACCAGGAUUGGAAUUCCUGUAACUCCAAGUUCAUUGCUCCAUGCAUUGAUUUUUCAAUAUAUGAUCCUGGAACAUCUGGGGGUUCUGGAGACUAUUUCAGUGGGUCUGUGAAAUCAGAACUGUUUUCAUAGUAUUAUUAAGACAGUAUCUGCCCCUUUUACUCUCAUGAUUGUAUGGUGGAGUUUUCCAGAAGCUACAUGAUAGGUGGCAUCACAAUGAAUCGAAUGCAGAAGCAAAUUUGAGAAUCCUGCUGUCUUCUCUUAAGCCAGACAUUAAAGAGGUUUGCAAAUAUAAAACAAUGCUUUUGUUUGUUUGCUGGCUUUGGAGCUUUAUGGGGUCCUCAAUAAUUUCGAAGAGUGUAAAGCAGCCUGAGAUCAAACUAUUUGAGAACCACUGAUCUGUGGCACAGCUGGUGUGGUGCCUAGCUGUCUUCCUCAGAAUGUGGGCUGAAUUCUGUUUUUCUGAGAUAGCCAAUUAAGAGAGGCAUUGGGUGAGGGAGAGGGGUGGGGAGAAAGACAGUCUCUGUCCAUAAAAGAUACAGACUUAGCAAUGAAAAGAUAGCAAGAAGGUGAAGAGAGGGCACAGAGAGGGGAGUCAGGAAGAAUUAGGAACAAGACUUGGUCCUGGCCCAGGACUGAUAGUGGGAUAUUGUGGUUGUAGUGGUAGGAACCAAGGCCUGGAGUGGUGUGACCUGGGCAAAACACUUAUCUUCACUGGGGCUUUACUUUCCUGAUUAUUGGUUGAAUUCAAUCAGGAUUCUCAACCCAGGAUUGUGAUAGAAUAAUAGAUAAUAAUACAGCAGUAAUUAAAGAUAAAAUAACAAAAUUGUGAAGGUUGUAAACAUUUACUUAAAAAAUGAACACAGAUUCAACGUGGUCCCGAAUCAUUAUGCUGCUCAACUCUUUUGAGUUCUGAUUUGCUUUCUUGAAUGAGAUUAUUGCCAGCAUAGAGUGGCUUAGUCAAGGGAGUAUAAGUCAUUAUAGCAGAGAAGAGAGGCAAAGAGCCAUUGGGAGUAGAUAGCUUAGAAAGUUUCUCUUUCAGCUCCAAGUCUCCAGAGGCCAAAACAGUGUUUGAUGUGCAUCCUGGUGACACACGUUCUUAAAGAACAGAAGAGGGAUAUGCUUAGAAGGAGGGUCAAGAGUUAACAGACUAGCCAGCUGCACAGACCUGGGAUUAUUGCUCAAUGCUGUUAUGUGAUAUUUGUGUGUCCUUGAGCAAGAGAUAUAAUCUCUCUGUUAAAAGGGAAUAAGAAUGCCCACUUUCUAGGGCUGUGGUAGCUGUUCAAUGUGAACAUGUGUCAGACUGGCUGCCUCAGAGCCAGCACUCGGUGAACACUGACCCUCUUCUCUUUUACCAAAGUGAGCAAAUAGAGAACUGAAAAAUACCACAUGAAAAGUUUGUCUAUUGGAGUGCUUCUUGACGAAAGCAGGGCUGCCUCAGAGAAGUGAGGUUAGAGGACUCAGGUGCUGAGUACAAGGGGACGCAACCUGGCAACGCUGGAUCCUGAAGCUGAGCAGGUAUGGAGAUGCCAUGUUGGUGGCCUCUUCCUUCCUGGUGGCAACAUGGGGUGUCUCCUCACUCAUAGCUGCUCCCCCGGGUCUCACUUCCUGGGAGACAUGAUGGAUGAGCCACCGCCAGCAGAGACUCUGCUCUCCAUUUAUCAUCUUCUGGCUUGCUCAGUGGAGCCAUUUGCUUUCCAACAGGUGAGUUGGAUGAGAUGGAUUACAUGUUGUCAAAAUGGUAAGUAAUGGGAUGCUGUGGUCAUUCUUUUGUAAUGUAGAAGUGGGAAACAUUUAAGCAUUUCAGCUUAGCUUAACAGCAAACUCAGGAAAUAGAUAUUUAUGAUUCCAGUCCUCCCUCCCCUAUCAGUUUUACUUAUCGACUAAAUUUAACACAAAAAGUGCCUUAAAAACCUUAUUCAGGUGUUUUUUUUUUUUAAAAGAUGUUCUUGGCACAAAAGAAUUUGGAGAAGAUAAAUACUAAGACUAAACCUUAUUUUACAGUACUUUAUAAAAACAAAUAUGGAAGGCAUAGAUUUGAGAAGAUAAUUCAUUGUCAGCCUUCGUUGGUUAGUUCCAUCAAAUGAGUUCCAACUGAAGAGUUACUCUUUGGCAUCUGAGAACCCCNNNNNNNNNNNNNNNNNNNNNNNNNNNNNNNNNNNNNNNNNNNNNNNNNNNNNNNNNNNNNNNNNNNNNNNNNNNNNNNNNNNNNNNNNNNNNNNNNNNAUCAAAUGAGUUCCAACUGAAGAGUUACUCUUUGGCAUCUGAGAACCCCAAGAGGUAUAGAGCUGAAGAUACAUGGUUUGCACACUCUCUUAGAGGCAGGAAGUGGGAAAAACAUAGGCUUUAGAGUCUGAGAGAUCUGUGUUUGAAUUUGGGCUCCAUUGCUUGCUAGCUGUGUGACUAUGGAAGUAUCUUUGACCAUGCUGAGUCUCAACUUUCCUAUCUGCUAAGUUGGAAGUUAGAAAGUCCACAUUGUAGAACUGUUUUGAAGGUGAGACAUACUGUACAUAAAGUGUAUUACAACAAACAGUUCAUUUCAGCCACUCAGUCAUGUCCAGCUUUUUGUGACUCCAUGGUCUCCAGCAUGCCAGGCUUCUCUGUCCAUCACCAACUCCUGGAGCCUGCUCAACUUCACAUCCAUCAAGUCUGUGGUGCCAUCCAACCAUCUCAUCCUCUGUCAUCCCCUUCUCCUC